rnacentral:rRNA from 1 species
CAAUAGCGUAUAUUAAAGUUGUUGCGGUAAAAAAGCUCGUAGUUGGAUUUCUGUUGAGAGCGACCGGUCCAUACCAUGUAUGCGCAUCUGGCUUGCUCUCGGCAUCCUCUCGAUAGACGUUGCUGCGCUUGAUUGCGUGGCGCGGAUCUCGGGACUUUUACUUUGAGGAAAUUAGAGUGUUCACGGCAGGCUUUCGCCAGAAUACAUUAGCAUGGAAUAAUACUAUAGGAUCUUGGUUCUAUUUUGUUGGUUUCUAGAAUUGAGAUAAUGAUUAAUAGGGACAAUUGGGGGCAUUCGUAUCAACACGUCAGAGGUGGAAUUCUUGGAUUGUGUUGCGACGAACUACUGCGAAAGCAUUUGCCAAGGAUGUUUUCAUUGA